CCUGGUUGAUCCUGCCAGUAGUCAUAUGCUUGUCUCAAAGAUUAAGCCAUGCAUGUCUAAGUACAAGCCUCAUUAAGGUGAAACCGCGAAUGGCUCAUUAAAUCACACCUAAUAUACUGGAUAGUAUACAGUUACUUGGAUAACUGCGGUAAUUCUGGAGCUAAUACAUGCGUUGAGCCCCGAACUUACGUGAGGGGCGCUUUUAUUAGAUCAAAACCAAACGGCCUCGGUCGUACCUCUGGUGAUUCUGAAUAACUUUGGGCUGAUCGCACGGCUUCACGCCGGCGACGUAUCUUUCUAAGGUGUGCCCUAUCAACUGUCGACUGUGGCAUAGACGCCCACAGUGGUUUUGACGGGUAACGGGGAAUCAGGGUUCGAUUCCGGAGAGGGAGCCUGAGAGACGGCUACCACUUCUAAGGAAGGCAGCAGGCACGCAAAUUACCCACUGGUCGAAGACCGAGGUAGUGACGAAAAAUAACGAUACCGGACUCAUCCGAGGCCCGGUAAUCGGAAUGAGUACACUUUAAAUCCUUUAACGAGGAACAAUUGGAGGGCAAGUCUGGUGCCAGCAGCCGCGGUAAUUCCAGCUCCAAUAGCGUAUAUUAAAGUUGUUGCGGUUAAAAAGCUCGUAGUUGGAUUUCGGCGGGCAGGGGGCGGUUCGAUAUCUGUCGUUACUGCUCCAUUUGCCCGUGUUUUUGGCGGAGGUUCCAGGGUGCUCUUAAUCGAGUGUCCUGGGAUGCCGUCAGGUUUACUUUGAAAAAAUUAGAGUGCUCAAAGCAGGCUUUAACGCUUGAAUAUUCGUGCAUGGAAUAAUAGAAUAGGACGUCGUUUCUAUUUUGUUGGUUUUCGGAAAUCGACGUAAUGAUUAACAGGGACAGUCGGGGGCAUUAGUAUUCAGACGACAGAGGUGAAAUUCUUGGACCGUCUGAAGACUAACUACUGCGAAAGCAUUUGCCAAGAAUGUUUUCAUUAAUCAAGAACGAAAGUUAGAGGUUCGAAGGCGAUCAGAUACCGCCCUAGUUCUAACCAUAAACGAUGCCAGCUAGCGAUCCGCAGACGUUUUUAUUGUAGGCUCUGCGGGAAGCUUCCGGGAAACCAAAGCUUGUGGGUUCCGGGGGAAGUAUGGUUGCAAAGCUGAAACUUAAAGGAAUUGACGGAAGGGCACCACCAGGAGUGGAGCCU
rnacentral:rRNA from 1 species